rnacentral:rRNA from 1 species
AGUGAACGCUGGCGGUAGGCCUAACACAUGCAAGUCGAACGGCAGCACAGUAAGAGCUUGCUCUUACGGGUGGCGAGUGGCGGACGGGUGAGGAAUACAUCGGAAUCUACUUUUUCGUGGGGGAUAACGUAGGGAAACUUACGCUAAUACCGCAUACGACCUACGGGUGAAAGCAGGGGAUCUUCGGACCUUGCGCGAUUGAAUGAGCCGAUGUCGGAUUAGCUAGUUGGCGGGGUAAAGGCCCACCAAGGCGACGAUCCGUAGCUGGUCUGAGAGGAUGAGCAGCAACACUGGAACUGAGACACGGUCCAGACUCCUACGGGAGGCAGCAGUGGGGAAUAUUGGACAAAGGGCGCAAGCCUGAUCCAGCCAUACCGCGUGGGUGAAGAAGGCCUUCGGGUUGUAAAGCCCUUUUGUUGGGAAAGAAAAGCAGAAGGUUAAUACCCCGCUGUUCUGACGGUACCCAAAGAAUAAGCACCGGCUAACUUCGUG